rnacentral:misc_RNA from 1 species
UACGGAGGGUGCAAGCGUUGUCCGGAAUCAUUGGGUGUAAAGGGUGCGUAGGCGGGCAUCUAAGUCUGGGGUGAAAUCUUGCCGCUUAACGGUAAAAUUGCCCUAGAUACUGGGUGUCUUGAAUCUAGAAGAGGUCGGUGGAAUUCGUGGUGUAGCGGUGUAAUGCAUAGAUAUCACGAAGAACACCAGUGGCGAAGGCGGCCGACUGGGCUAGAAUUGACGCUGAGGCACGAGAGCGUGGGGAGCGAACAGG